UACGUAGGGGGCGAGCGUUGUCCGGAUUCAUUGGGCGUAAAGCGCUUUAAGGCGGUUCGCUAAGUCGGGUGUGAAACCUCCCAGGCUCAACCUGGAGACGCCACUCGAUACUGGCGUGACUAGAGUUCGGUAGGGGACCAGCGGAAUUCCUGGUGUGAGCGGUGAAAUGCGCAGACUAUCAGGAGGAACACCAGUGGCGAAGGCGGUGGUCUGGGCCGGUACUGACGCUGAGGUGCGAAAGCGUGGGGAGCAAACAGG
rnacentral:rRNA from 1 species